UAACUUCAAAAAAAUCCCAUGUGGUUUCGCACUUUCUCACUUUAGUAUCAUGUGGUUUAAAGUGUAUCAAUUUGCCUCCCUGUGGUUUCGUUUUUCUCUUUGUAUUAUUAAUUUUUUUUUCUUAAAUCAAUGACAAAGUUAAAAUUAAAGGGUACUAAAGUAAAUAUUAGAUAAAUCUAGAUGGGUAUCUGAAGUUUUUUGUAUAUAUAAUUUAACGAAAUAUUAAGAAAAAAACUGUCGAAAAUAAAAAAACAAAACCAAGGGGGGACAAAUUGAUACACUUUAAACUAUGGGGUACUAAAAUGAGAAAAUGCGAAACUAUAAGGAGUUUUUUUUGAAGUUUUUUCUAAAAUAUAUGGGUGGCGUGGUUCAAAAUUGAUUUUGAAAAUCG
rnacentral:lncRNA from 1 species